rnacentral:rRNA from 1 species
AGCUCUAAUAGCGUAUAUUAAAGUUGUUGCAGUUAAAAAGCUCGUAGUCGCAUUUCUGGCGAGAGGAUCCGGUCCGACCUUUUGGUGGGUUCUUGGGUCUCUUUCGCCAUCCUUGAGUGGUCCGUUCUGGCAUUAGGUUGUCGGAGCGUCAGCCGCUCAUCGUUUACUGUGAGAAAAUUAGAGUGUUCAAAGCAGGCUUAUGCCGUUGAAUAUAUUAGCAUGGAAUAAUAAGAUAGGACCUCGGUACUAUUUUGUUGGUUUGCGCACCAAGGUAAUGAUGAACAGGGACAGUUGGGGGUAUUUGUAUUUCGUUGUCAGAGGUGAAAUUCUUAGAUUUACGAAAGACAAACUACUGCGAAAGCAUUUACCAAGGAUGUUUUCA